CUCAUGGAGAGUUUGAUCCUGGCUCAGGACGAACGCUGGCGGCGCGCUUAACACAUGCAAGUCGAACGGGGCACUUCGGUGCUUAGUGGC
rnacentral:rRNA from 1 species